CAUGUGAUGAAACGAAAUUGACUCAAGAGGAAGUUACGAAUGCGAGACAGUUCUCGGUGAAAAUGGCGUAUGCGCGAAAUGAAACUCUAUAUCAGGAUGUAUGCGAGAUAUGAAACUCUAUAUCAAGAUGUAUGCGAGAAGCUACUAUCAUCUUGCCCAAAACUUGUGGUGAGCUGUUUUAAUGAGAAUUGGCACCCUAUCCGAUAAGGAGGAAAUAGGGAAAGUACCCAGGACCAUUGAGACAGCAGUCAGUAUGCCGAAUCUAAAAACUUCUAGUAAAUCUAUGUAUAGAGUAAGGGCAAAGGCAUUUUGGCAGAAAUCCAAAUCAAUGGGCAAAAACCAUUGGUAAUCAAGACUUUCUCCUGGUUGAUGACCAAAUAGCUGGUGAAAGAAUUUCGAUUUUAACUACCUGCUGCUCCUGAAGACUGGAAAAGAACCUUCUAGUUGCAAACAUGUUUAUGCCCUUUUACAUGCAGUCGAGGACUACUGUAAGAAGAAGCUGCAUGCUGGCCCGACAGAGCGACUACAGAUCUGGCACCAGCCUAAGCUGAUUAAGCUGCAACCAAAGCGAGCAUCGGAAGUGGUAGGCAAGAAUAUAGUAUGCGAAUUGAAAACUGACUUCGAUCCGGGGGACCUUAAAGGAUUUGAACAUUGCUUUGUUUAAAUGCACAAAUGUUAGUGAGGACUUAUUGUACGUGAGAACCAUCCCUGUACCUGCUGUCGCUGUUUCUAGCACUGUGAUUGAAACUAAUUGCAUAAACACUAUGGAAGAUCUCAUACUGUUUCACCAACGUUACUUUCACACGAUAUAAUUCGUGACAGAUAUGGAAAAGAAAACAUCGAGACAAGAUUCUGAUAAAUGGAUGAAAUUAAGAUGUAUGGAUUCUGCCCAGUGAAGUGUAAAUUUGACGAGAUGAUAGGUCUGUUUUUAUUUAUGAAUUUAUAACAAGAAAUUAUUUUUCAAAGUUCUAAUAUUGAAAUUUUAAAUAUUUUUUUUUACGAAUAUUUUAUCCAUUAUUAUUUUCACAAGAAUUCAAAAUAUAUAAACUAGGUGAAGAUGUUUUCGAAACAACCCAUAUACAAAAAGAACAACGAUUUAUAAACCAGUACCCUUUUAAAAACAAAUCCUACUGUAUCUAACAUUCUCACAGUAUUUACCCAAAAAGAAACGCUCUUUUUUUCCUAGGAGAAAAUUCCAAUGAAUUAUGGAAACCCAAAAAUUGCCUAAGUGGUUUGCAGCAGACAUUUCAAAGAAAGUGAUUUUAAGCUUGGUUAAAAUACAAGUGCUUGCAAUCCACGGCAAUAUCAUUAGUUUUUCCAGAAUUUCCAUGAGCUAAAAGCAACCAAGUAAACGCAAAAAACUGGUUUAUAAUGUAGAUGUGCAACUGAACCCUCUGAUGACUGUAGGCUUUACUGGUCAAAAAGGUUGCGACGUAACGAGAUCCAUAAUUAUAAACUUUAGAAGAAAAA